CGUGCUCCCCACCUCGGAUCACUGCG
rnacentral:misc_RNA from 1 species